GACGAACGCUGGCGGCGUGCUUAACACAUGCAAGUCGAACGGUGAUGCUCCAGCUUGCUGGCGUGGAUCAGUGGCGAACGGGUGAGUAACACGUGAGCAACCUGCCCCAGACUCUGGGAUAAGCGCUGGAAACGGCGGCUAAUACCGGAUACGAAACUGGCCCGCAUGGGCAUGGUUUGGAAAGUUUUUCGGUUUGGGAUGGGCUCGCGGCCUAUCAGCUUGUUGGUGAGGUAAUGGCUCACCAAGGCGACGACGGGUAGCCGGCCUGAGAGGGCGACCGGCCACACUGGGACUGAGACACGGCCCAGACUCCUACGGGAGGCAGCAGUGGGGAAUAUUGCACAAUGGGCGAAAGCCUGAUGCAGCGACGCCGCGUGAGGGAUGACGGCCUUCGGGUUGUAAACCUCUUUCAGCAGGGAAGAAGCGAAAGUGACGGUACCUGCAGAAGAAGCACCGGCUAACUACGUG
rnacentral:rRNA from 1 species